rnacentral:miRNA from 1 species
AAAACAACCUCGUAUGAAAGUUAUGAAAGUUUAGUAUGUAUUAUACAUACUAAACUUUCAUAACUUUCAUACGAGGUUGUUUUAAUA